AGCACGAAGGCUCAUACUAAGCUCUUGAUAAUCCUGCUGCAGUUGUAGCCAGCAUGUGUCAGUGCCACAUACCUUUGUCCCCUGUCUUAGCACACUCAGCCAGGAACUGGCAGAUCUGGGUCGGAUGGCAUCUUAGAGCAAAAGCGCGUGCUAUUACAGCUUCUAAACCCAGCACUUAGAGUAAAUCUGAAAACCCAAAAUUACCCUGAAAAUUACCAGGAGCUGGGUCCACAGAAGUCCAUCUGGCAUCUCGUGUCCUUUGCCUUUUGGUUGUGGAGCUCAGGCCUUGUCCUCAGGAGAGGGCCAGCUUCCUCACACUGCUUCCUGUGUUCCUUCUUAGGAAGUAGAGUACUGCAGACUGCAGUGCUUAAGGCCCCCAAAUGGCAAGACUGGCCACUUGCUGCCAUUCCUGUCUCUUGUGACAAUGUGACAAACCAGUAUCCUGUAGCUAGUUCCAGAUUGGUCUACCCAGCCACUGUGCCACCGUAUAAUGGCCAGAGUCUCAAAGACAGGAAGGAGUAGCUCCUGGCCCUGCCCUGGUGUGGUAUGGCUCUGCUUUGUGAAGCCUCAGACUCUCUCGUUUCUGUUACAGGAGCUCUGGAAGAUUGUGGUCGAGCCAGCAGCAUGAGUCACCUCUGUGACCUCUUGACUAUUAUCUUAAUGUAUUUCAAAUAAAGACAAACCCUCAGCC
rnacentral:lncRNA from 1 species